AUACGGAGGAUCCGAGCGUUAUCCGGAUUUAUUGGGUUUAAAGGGAGCGCAGGUGGCUUGUUAAGUCAGUUGUGAAAGUUUGCGGCUCAACCGUAAAAUUGCAGUUGAAACUGGCAGUCUUGAGUACAGUAGAGGUGGGCGGAAUUCGGGGGGUAGCGGUGAAAUGCUUAGAUAUCACGAAGAACUCCGAUUGCGAAGGCAGCUCACUAGACUGUUACUGACACUGAUGCUCGAAAGUGUGGGUAUCAAACAGGAUUAGAUACCCUGGUAGUCCACACAGUAAACGAUGAAUACUCGCUGUUUGCGAUAUACAGUAAGCGGCCAAGCGAAAGCAUUAAGUAUUCCACCUGGGGAGUACGCCGGCAACGGUGAAACUCAAAGGAAUUGACGGGG
rnacentral:rRNA from 1 species